UUUUAAGGUGUUAUAGUUUUCACUAUGUGGAGUCCAUUAAGAACUCACAAAACUUAGCUAUUUGAUUGAAGUAUCAAAACUUAAAUCAAAGACUACUUUAUAAUACUAAUGAUAAUGACUUGAUCAACUUCAUUGAGUUACUAAGCAACACUAUUAUGUAGUAUAGUGCAGUAGUUGUCUUACUAUGAGUAUGCAUUGGCUUAUAUUAGCAUUGCAAAAGUUUUUUUCUUCUAAUUUUCUUAGAGUUUUCUAUAAUUAUUCUCUUUCUAGUUUAGGAACCGUAGUUGUAUAAUCUUGGUAGGAAAAGAGUCUAUCAUUAAGUCUCUGAUUGUUGUAUUAUUAUCAUAUUUUGAAUCAUAUUUUAUGACCUGAAUAUAGAGAUCUUUCGUACAAUAACUUCAGCGCCAGCCAAGGGAAUCGGAUAUGUCAAAAUGAUAAAGUAAACUUGUUUUCUACUUCAUGGGCAAAUAAUAACAUAGGAACAAUUUCGUGUUUGAGCGGAUGCACCAAACAAGCAGAAGAAGAAAUCUACAAGAUCAAGUGCAAAUGGUUGAAGAACAAAACCUACAAGAUCAAAUGCAAAUGGUUGAAGAGGAUAUAGACAUAGAAAUGUUGCCAAAACAAAAGUCAAAGAAGAAGAAAACUUAUAUAUGAAGAAAGUGUUAUGACUUAGUUAAAAUAUGAUUUUUUAUGUGUAUGA